UGAGAGUUUCACGACUCCAAACAACCGCGAACAUACCACGUCGUUGCCUCGGCGGGCGGCCCAGCGCCCCCGGCCCCCUCCGGGGGGCGCCCGCCGCAGGCCAGCCAAACAACACUGUUGCAUCUAGGACCUCUGAGGAACCGCGUCAGCGGAACAAACAAUCAAAACUUUCAACAAUGGAUCUCUUGGCUCUGGCAUCGAUGAAGAACGCAGCGAAAUGCGAUAAGUAAUGCGAAUUGCAGAAUUCAGCGAGUCAUCGAAUCUUUGAACGCACAUUGCGCCCGCCAGCAUUCUGGCGGGCAUGCCUGUCCGAGCGUCAUUUCCACCCGUCAAGCCCAGCUUGUGUUGGGGCACCGCGGCCGCCGCGGGCCCUGAAAGGAAGUGGCGGGACCGCCGCCGCGCCUAGCGUAGUACUCUUGCCCCGCUACGGAGCGCGCGCGCGGACCCCGGCCGUUAAACGCCCACCAAGCGUACAGGU
rnacentral:rRNA from 1 species